UGAUGUGCUCAGUAAUAUUUAGAUUUUUAUAGUUAUACACAUUUAUGGUUUUAAGAAGGCGCCUUUGUUGUUGAAUUUCCUUCCGAAACAGUAAUGUUAUAGAUCUGAAACUCCUAUUUUUUUUUUUUGUGGCUCCUGCAAGAUUUCUCAGGAAUGCAACUAUCACAUUAUGCCAAAAUAAACAAUUGAGAUUAUGGGACUAUUAAUUUGAUCUUGGGGAACUAUUUCAAGCAUUCUGUUGUUCACAGUGCACUCUAUUUACCAACAUAGGUAAAAGCAAGCCCUUUGCUAUUUAUUUCAGUCAUUGCUUGCUUACACUAUAUGAUAUGGUUUGAAUAUGGUGUCUCUCUAAAAUUAAUACUUUAGAACUUAACCCCCAAGGCAGUAGGUAUUCAGAGGGAGGGCAUUUGGGGAAGUGAUAGCUUUAAUUCUCCUAUGAAAGAGAUUUCAGAGAGAUCUCUCCCAUUCCCUUUAUCUUUUCUGCCCAACGAGGACAUAUCCUACCCACUUCCAGCAAUCCAAACAACAGACUGUCAUUUUCACAAGUGGGAAAACAAGCAGAAGAAGUUAGGUGAGAUGGUAACGUCACACAGAUAAUGAGAGGCAGAGCCAGGAUUAGAACAGGAGCAAUUGAGCCCGCAGUCUAACGUAAUGCCUCUCCUGAUGCCAAUUUGUAAGGAACAGCCUUCUUCAGUUCAGAUGUAUUGAAACUGAAGAGGAAUAUGGGCAUGGGAAUAUGUACCAGGUAGUAGGGACAGGAAUCUAAAAUUCAGAGAAUUGUCAAGAUCAGGAUCUAGAAUUGAAUGCCUCAUAAAUCUCACUCGGUUAACUUAAUAUUAAGUUAUAACUUAAUAACUUAAUAUUCACAACACUUCAUUACUGAAUCUGAGAUUCAGAUUUAACCCAUUGAUUUUACACAACUCAGGAAGUAUAUGGGAGCAGCAAUCAAAAUUAUACAGAUUUUCAGACUCCUUGAAAAGAAUGUUGAGACACUUUGUCACCAAACCUCUCAUAGUUGUUGAAUUCUGCUUAUCUUUCGCUUUCUUAUGUAUUCCAAUAAUUUGCUUGUGGGCUGUAUUGAUUUCCAUUUGGUUUAGUAAAUCAGGAGGCUUGUUAAAGUUCCAACCUUUACCAAGUGUUUUAUGAUUCUAAAAUUCUCAAUAUUGCAACAUGCCAAAGAAAUAUUAUGAUGAGUUCAGAUAUCUAUACACACCACAGGAAAUUAAAGAGCUGAAUAGCAUUGUCAUUAAGAGAAUGAGCUUUGAAAAAAUGACUGGGUUUAGAUCUCAACUCUGACAUUUUUAAGUUUUCUGACUGUGAGCAUGUUAUUUUCUGCCUCUAAUGACACUCCUCAUGGGAAGUUUUAAGAUUUAGGAGGGAUGACACAUGCAUGUCACUUCUCACUAUUCCCAUCGAAGAAGUCAGUAAAUCUUGGAUUUAUUAUCUCCUCUCUGAAUGCUUACAAAUUUUGUGAACCUCUAUACUGGCAAAAAUUACCAAAAAAUGCAUUUCCCUAAAAUUAUUUAAUACAAAUAUCUUCAAGAGAUGUGUUUGACAGAACACUUUAAUAUUUAAUUAACGACAACCUUGGAGAAGGAAAAUAUAAUACUAGCACAAACAAUUCAUCACAUCCAAAACAAAUACAAGGCAAACUCCUACUAGGUGUUUAUACAUACAUAAUGUGUUGAGUUAGGUAAUCACGAACUCACUGCUUUAGAUUUAAUCAGCCACUACAUCAAGAGAUAAUUGUUGGAAAGUUUUGAUUGGCAUUUUAAAUGGUUUCCCUUUGGUAAGGUGGGCAGUAUAUUAAAACCCAGCAGAUAAACAUUGGAUUGAAUAGAAUUCUACCUCAUAACUUUAGAAAUGUACAUAUAUAACUAUGAAAGAAAUAGAGCUUUUAAAAGUGCCAAUCUUUAUAGUGACAGAUGCUAUGUGUUUGUAUAGCCAAGUUUUAAAAGUCCUACCUAGUGCAAAAUGGUUCCCUCUAUGGAGAUUUUCCUAGGUCUUUAUAAAGGUCCAAUUGUUGUUCAUGUCUACCAUGAUGACUCUAUUUAUAAAUCAGUAGGAGAUUCAAAAUUAACAGUUUUUUGCACACACAUUAUCUGUUGAAAUUUACAUAAAUAUCUAAUUUAAUAUUCACAAAAAUAGUAUGGGGUAAGUUAUAGUAUCUCCAGAUCCCGAGGAGGAAAUCAAAACUUAGAAAGAAAUUACUUAGUGUCACAAGGCUUUUAAGUGAUGAACUAGGAAUACAAACUCAAAUCUUUUUUGAUCUUAAAGCCCUUGUCUUUCAGAUCAUAGUGCCUCAUGAAAACCAUUGAUCAAGCUUCUCACUUGAGGAAACAGCUUUUGGAUAUUUUAUUGGAGGAAGACACUGCUGAUUAUAGGGAUAUUAUUUAAACAUGAUUUAAACUGAUUUUGAUAAAUUAUUUUUUAGGUUCCUGGAAGGCAUAAGUAAUAAGACUCCUUAGUAAAGUGUUUAUGUGGUAGGUGGCUCAGAGUGUGUGCUGCUGCUUUGGAAUCUAAAAGUUCAAGAAGGCUUUGAAGCUUGAUUUUACAGAAAGAACACUAUUCUUAGACUAAUUACUGGAAUUUGGAUAAAAUUAAAAUUCUGCGCUGGAGGUGUAGCUCAGUGGUGGAGCACUUGCCUGGCAUAUGAAUAAAAACUAGGCCCAGCACACUCAGAAUAUCCUCCAAAUGACUCAUAAAUAAUGUGGAAAUCAACAUGGGUUGGUGAAGAUCAGAGUAUUGUAAAUGGCUUAACCUGAAUUUUGACAUUUGUAUAGUAAUCAUAUAAAUGAAUUAGAAAGAAACAUACUAAAAGAAGUUUUAGUAGGAAUAAAUGGAAGUGUUUGCCCUCAAUUAAAAAGAAUAUAGACAUUCAUGUGCAUAAAUUUAAAUGUGCAAAUAUCCAGAGGUUUGUUUUAUUCCUGAUCUUAUUCUACCAUAUUACUUAUUACAAAUUAUUUAUUAUUUUUAUAAUACCAAGAAUAUCAGGAGUUUUUUUUAACUGCUAUAAUUUUGCCCAUCUUAGUACCAAACAAGAAAUAUAAAAUUUGAAGGCAGCAGCCCUGUUAUUUUAAAUUAGGUAUUCCUUUUGCUGUUAAACAUUCUUUAAUGUGGAGUACCUGUUUUCAGAAUAAUGUGUUUAAAUGCAUAAAAUAUAUGUGAUUAUUUUAAUUUUUUGAAAUACAUUUAUCAAAAUAUUUUUAAAAUUUGUGACAUGUUUUUUUUAUUAAUGCUUUAAACCAAAAGAUCAGCAGCAGUCUAAUAGCUACUAUAGUUUUGAAU
rnacentral:lncRNA from 1 species